AACGAACGCUGGCGGCGUGCCUAACACAUGCAAGUCGUGCGAGAAAGUUCCUUCGGGAGCGAGUAAAGCGGCGCACGGGUGAGUAACACGUAGGUAACCUGCCCCCCAGUCUGGAACAACUAGAGGAAACUCUAGCUAAUGCCGGAUGAGACCACGAUCCCUUCGGGGGUUGCGGCCAAAGAUGGCCUCUACUUGUAAGCUAUCGCUGAGGGAUGGGCCUGCGGGCCAUUAGCUUGUUGGUGAGGUAACGGCUCACCAAGGCUGUGAUGGCUAGCUGGUCUGAGAGGAUGACCAGCCACACUGGGACUGAGACACGGCCCAGACUCCUACGGGAGGCAGCAGUGGGGAAUAUUGCGCAAAUGGGCGAAAGCCUGACGCAGCGAGCCGCGUGGGUGAUGAAGGCCUUC
rnacentral:rRNA from 1 species